AUAAUAAGAACAUGUCAGGAAGCCAAGAUGAUUGCCAGAUACCAAUUCAAAGAUAAGAGAGCGAAAGAAAGAGCAGCUGGCAAGUCAUCCUUGGCUACCAAACAAAAUGUUCUUAUCA
rfam:Helianthus annuus linkage group 13, whole genome shotgun sequence.